GCAUCGGAACGUGCCCAGAAGUGGGGGAUAGCCCGGCGAAAGCCGGAUUAAUACCGCAUGAGACCUGAGGGUGAAAGCGGGGGAUCGCAAGACCUCGCGCUUUUGGAGCGGCCGAUGUCAGAUUAGCUAGUUGGUGGGGUAAAGGCCUACCAAGGCGACGAUCUGUAGCUGGUCUGAGAGGACGACCAGCCACACUGGGACUGAGACACGGCCCAGACUCCUACGGGAGGCAGCAGUGGGGAAUUUUGGACAAUGGGCGCAAGCCUGAUCCAGCCAUGCCGCGUGCGGGAAGAAGGCCUUCGGGUUGUAAACCGCUUUUGUCAGGGAAGAAACGCUCUGGGCUAAUACCCUGGGGUAAUGACGGUACCUGAAGAAUAAGCACCGGCUAACUACGUGCCAGCAGCCGCGGUAAUACGUAGGGUGCAAGCGUUAAUCGGAAUUACUGGGCGUAAAGCGUGCGCAGGCGGUUAUGCAAGACAGAUGUGAAAUCCCCGGGCUCAACCUGGGAACUGCAUUUGUGACUGCAUGGCUAGAGUGCGGCAGAGGGGGAUGGAAUUCCGCGUGUAGCAGUGAAAUGCGUAGAUAUGCGGAGGAACACCGAUGGCGAA
rnacentral:rRNA from 1 species